AGCUCAAGCUCUAACUUAAAGUCUUCAACAAAACUCUCUCUCUCUCUCUCUCUCUCUCUCUCUGCUUCUCCAAAACCAGAGGGGCAGCCAACUGAACCUACUCACGGUUUCUCGAUCGAUCAAGAACAUCCAUUUCUAUGGCUUCCACUAACAGUCUCAUAUCUUCUUCUUUUACUUCUCGGCUCCAUCACCCAUUCAAGGAUUUCGCCCCUCAAAUCUUUCUUCAUCCUAUCGAUUCCUUUUCCAUUUUAUCUCCGAUUCGCCGGGAAAAUCGAAUCGUUUUCUCGAAAAGGAACAUUUUUUGUGCUUCUUCCAAUAACACAAAUGCUGCGAGCUCAAUCCCAUUGAAAUCUGAACAGGAAGAUUAUGUUCCCAUGCCAGUGGUUCUGAUAGAUCAAGAUUCUGACUCCGAAGCAACAAUUGUACAAAUCAGCUUUGGCGAUCGUCUUGGGGCUCUCAUUGAUACGAUAAAGGCCUUGAAAGAUUUGGGAUUGGAUGUGGCAAAAGGAUCUGUUCUCACAGAAGGAUCUGUUAAGCAAACAAAAUUCUUUAUUACACGUUUGGACAAUGGACGAAAGGUUGAAGAUCCUGAUAUGUUAGAGAGAAUUCGACUUACCAUCAUUAACAAUCUUCUGAAGUACCAUCCAGAAUCUAGUGAGCAACUUGCAAUGGGUGAGGCUUUUGGAAUAAAAGGUCCUGAGAAAAAGCUUGAUGUUGAUAUUGCAACCCAUAUACAUGUCAAAGAUGAUGGACCUAAGAGAAGCUUGCUUUAUAUUGAGACAGCAGAUCGACCUGGAUUAGUUGUAGAAAUCAUUAAAAUCAUGGCUGAUAUCAAUGUUGAUGUCGAAUCAGCAGAGAUUGAUACAGAAGGUUUGAUAGCCAAAGACAAGUUUCAUGUCAGCUACAGAGGGUCAGCCUUAAACAGUUCAUUGUCUCAGGUUCUGAUGAACUGUCUGCGAUACUACCUCAGAAGUCCAGAAACAGACAUCGAUAGCUAUUGACACUUGGGGGACUCACUUUUCAACUGUGAACUCAAUGUAACGGCCCUUGUACCAAAGUGCUAUUGAGCUCAAAGUCACCUGCUAAGUUGUGUGCUAAAGCUUCCAAAGUCAAGGGGUCUGAAAUAUGCGUGCGUAAUUUGCAACGCCAGCCUGUGGAAAAACCCGUGGUCCUUGGCAACAGCGGCCAAAGAAUCACAAAUGGCAUUCUUGGAGACUACAGCAUCAAAGUUUAUUUUGAUUACUUCUCUUGGUGGAUGAGUCCACACAACAGCAUGAGGCAUUAAUGGAGAAGGCCAGGGGUUCUGACUGAUGUUUGCAGUUGACGAGUCCUCAUAAUGGUUCAAGGCAGCUAUUAAAAUUUCGAAGAAAUAAUUUUUUUUCUUGCGAAGAAAACACCAGCUGUUUUGAUUCUUCCAUAUCGGCCAAAGCUGAGAUUUGUAGUAAUUCAGGAUCGCGAUCAUGCUGAUUGAGGAAGUCCUGUAGUUCACCCCAAGACUCAGUAUCAAGGAGCGCAGUCUGAGGGGUGAGUAGAGUCAGAUUUCUAUAGCUCUUGGACAAUCGAAGAACAAGUGCUUGGCCGAUUCUCUGACAUCAUAAAAAACUCAAUUGGGGGACACUCCAGGAAUUCUUUGAUUGAUCAGUUCUUUAGUGGGCAAUCAGUCUUUGAUACAGGACCACAAGAAAAUGAAGAGUUCACUGGGAAGCUUUAAAGACCAAAUAUAUAUAUAUA